UGUUCCCCAAGUUUCAAGUCGUGACCUGCUCACGCAUUUUUAUUUUUUCUUCUUAUCCCUAUGAGAUUCCCUAGAGUCUCUAUCCCUAGUGAGUGUAUUACUCCUAUGGAUUGCCAAUUUCUCCGGAUGUCUUUUCUUCUUUGUGGACACAUAUCCCCACAGAGUUUGUUUGUUUUGCAUACAUACAUCUGCAUCAUGAUGUCUCUUAGGGA
rnacentral:lncRNA from 1 species